GUUCAUCUUCGGGGCAGGGUGUAAUUCCCGACCGGUGGUAAUAGUCCACGAUCUGUUUUGAACAGGUGACUCUGGUGCAAUUCCAGGACCGACAGUAUAGUCUGGAUGGGAGAGGAUGUUG
rnacentral:ncRNA from 2 species